rnacentral:rRNA from 1 species
UACCUAGCGGCGGACGGGUGAGUAAUGCUUAGGAAUCUGCCUAUUAGUGGGGGACAACAUUCCGAAAGGAAUGCUAAUACCGCAUACGUCCUACGGGAGAAAGCAGGGGACCUUCGGGCCUUGCGCUAAUAGAUGNNNNNNAGUCGGAUUAGCUAGUUGGUGGGGUAAAGGCCUACCAAGGCGACGAUCUGUAGCGGGUCUGAGAGGAUGAUCCGCCACACUGGGACUGAGACACGGCCCAGGCUCCUACGGGAGGCAGCAGUGGGGAAUAUUGGACAAUGGGGGGAACCCUGAUCCAGCCAUGCCGCGUGUGUGAAGAAGGCCUUUUGGUUGUAAAGCACUUUAAGCGAGGAGGAGGCUACUAGUAUUAAUACUACUGGAUAGUGGACGUUACUCGCAGAAUAAGCACCGGCUAACUCUGUGCCAGCAGCCGCGGUAAUACAGAGGGUGCGAGCGUUAAUCGGAUUUACUGGGCGUAAAGCGUGCGUAGGCGGCUGAUUAAGUCGGAUGUGAAAUCCCUGAGCUUAACUUAGGAAUUGCAUUCGAUACUGGUCAGCUAGAGUAUGGGAGAGGAUGGUAGAAUUCCAGGUGUAGCGGUGAAAUGCGUAGAGAUCUGGAGGAAUACCGAUGGCGAAGGCAGCCAUCUGGCCUAAUACUGACGCUGAGGUACGAAAGCAUGGGGAGCAAACAGGAUUAGAUACCCUGGUAGUCCAUGCCGUAAACGAUGUCUACUAGCCGUUGGGGCCUUUGAGGCUUUAGUGGCGCAGCUAACGCGAUAAGUAGACCGCCUGGGGAGUACGGUCGCAAGACUAAAACU